UACGGAGGAUGCAAGCGUUAUCCGGAAUUAUUGGGCGUAAAGCGCGCGCAGGUGGUUUCUUAAGUCUGAUGUGAAAGCCCACGGCUCAACCGUGGAGGGUCAUUGGAAACUGGGAGACUUGAGUGCAGAAGAGGAAAGUGGAAUUCCAUGUGUAGCGGUGAAAUGCGUAGAGAUAUGGAGGAACACCAGUGGCGAAGGCGACUUUCUGGUCUGUAACUGACACUGAGGCGCGAAAGCGUGGGGAGCAAACAGG
rnacentral:rRNA from 1 species